rnacentral:rRNA from 1 species
UGGGAAAUUUUGGACAAUGGGCGCAAGCCUGAUCCAGCCAUGCCGCGUGCGGGAAGAAGGCCUUCGGGUUGUAAACCGCUUUUGUCAGGGAAGAAAUCUUCUGAGUUAAUACCUCGGGAGGAUGACGGUACCUGAAGAAUAAGCACCGGCUAACUACGUGCCAGCAGCCGCGGUAAUACGUAGGGUGCAAGCGUUAAUCGGAAUUACUGGGCGUAAAGCGUGCGCAGGCGGUUUUGUAAGACAGAGGUGAAAUCCCCGGGCUCAACCUGGGAACUGCCUUUGUGACUGCAAGGCUUGAGUGCGGCAGAGGGGGGAUGGAAUUCCGCGUGUAGCAGUGAAAUGCGUAGAUAUGCGGAGGAACACCGAUGGCGAAGGCAAUCCCCUGGGCCUGCACUGACGCUCAUGCACGAAAGCGUGGGGAGCAAACAGGAUUAGAUACCCUGGUAGUCCACGCCCUAAAACGAUGUCAACUGGUUGUUGGGAAGGUUCCUUCUCAGUAACGCAGCUAACGCGUGAAGUUGACCGCCUGGGGAGUACGGCCGCAAGGUUGAAAC